rnacentral:rRNA from 1 species
GGAUUGAACGCUGGCGACAUGCCUAACACAUGCGAGUCGAACGGUAACGCGGGGGCAACCCUGGCGACGAGUGGCGGACGGGUGAGUAAUACGUAGGAAUCUGCCCAUUUGUGGGGGAUAACCCGGCGAAAGCCGGGCUAAUACCGCAUACGCUCUACGGAGGAAAGCGGGGGAUCGUAAGACCUCGCGCUAAUGGAUGAGCCUACGUCGGAUUAGCUAGUUGGUGGGGUAACGGCCUACCAAGGCGACGAUCCGUAGCUGGUCUGAGAGGACGAUCAGCCACACUGGGACUGAGACACGGCCCAGACUCCUACGGGAGGCAGCGAGUGGGGAAUAUGGACAAGUGGGGGACAACCCUGAUCCAGCAAUGCCGCGUGUGUGAAGAAGGCCUGCGGGUUGUAAAGCACUUUCAGUGGGAAGAAAAAGUCGAGCUAACACUCCGAGCUUGACGUUACCAUAGAAGAGCACGGCUAACUCGUGCCAGAGCCGAGU